AACGUAGGACACAAGCGUUAUCCGGAGUUACUGGGCGUAAAGGGCGUUUAGGCGGGUGAUUAAGUUCGCUAUGAAAGCGCCAGGCUAAACCUGGCGAGGCUGGCGGAUACUGGUCAUCUGGAGUAAGGAAGAGGGAGGUAGAAUUCCGCGUGUAGUGGUGAAAUGCGUAGAGAUGCGGAGGAAUACCAGUGGCGAAGGCGGCCUCCUGGUCCUUAACUGACGCUGAAGCGCGAAAGCAUGGGGAGUGAACGGG
rnacentral:rRNA from 1 species